CAAGGCAGGAUGAAGCAAGAGGCCUGCAUUGAAUGUCAAUAUUAUAUGAACUUUUUUUUUUUUUUUUUACAGUUACAACAAAACAAGUGAUAAAACUGAGUGUGCUGAAAGACUCCUCUCUGGAUCUGAAUGACCCUGCUGUGGUGGAACAAGUCUCGAAGCAGAUCAAACAGAGGCUGAAGGACCAGGGGGUAAAUGAAGACAUCAAACUGAGCUGGAGGAAGCAGUCAGAUGGAAAGAUCUUCCACAAGGACGAGAAGGAGACAGAGAAGAGGAAGAAGAGGGAGCUUUAAUUGCUGUGUCUGUUUUCAUCAGAGUCCUCAUGUAAUGGGUCAGAAUAUAUCUGCAACAAUCAGUCAGUUAAUCAAUUCAUAAUUUUAUUUAACAAGCAAAAAUAACAAAUAUUCACGGGUUCCAGUUUCUUAAAUGUGAGGAUUUGAUGCUUUUCUUUAUCGUAUAUGGUCAUUAACUUAAUAUCUUUGGGUUUUAGGCAGUUGAUCAAUUAAAAACAGAUGUUUGAAUUUAUCUGCUUGGGCUGUGGGAAACUGUAACAGGCAUUUUCAUUAUUUUCUGACAAUAAUGAUAACAUUAAUCAACAAUGAUGAUAACAUUAAUCAAUAAUAAUGGUGACUAGUUACAGCCCUCAUUCAGAAUUAUUAGAUAGUAGAUAUUAUAAUAGAUAUAUGGGUAAUGAUUAUAUGCCAGCUUGUGACCUAUCAACUUCCUUAAAGAUACUAUCAGAUUAGAUUAGAUAAAAUAAGACACUGUAUUUUAGAUAAGAUUAGAUUAGAUAUAAUAUGAUAAGAUUAGAUUAAAUUAGAUAACAUAUAAGAUUAGAUAAGGCACAUGUGAGUGGCGGUGACAUCAUGAAAAAGUGUGAAAUAAAUGUGUCCUUGGAGAAAAUGCCAUUAUGAAAUGAAAAUAAUACUCAAUAAAGUUAUGUUAUUGUGAAAAUGAAUGGUUAAAGUAACAUUUCAUAAUGAUAAUGUCUUCACGUAUUUAAUUGGCUUAAUUGUUUGAGCUUUUACAGAAUUUU
rnacentral:lncRNA from 15 species